UAGCUUAGUUGGUAGUGCAUCUGCCUUGUAAGCGCUAGGCCGCGGGUUCGAUUCCCGC
rfam:Asian citrus Psyllid, Diaphorina citri - Florida Strain, whole genome shotgun sequence.